UACGUAGGUGACAAGCGUUGUCCGGAUUUACUGGGCGUAAAGAGCGCGCAGGCGGUCGUUCAAGUCGAGUGUGAAAGCCCCCGGCUCAACUGGGGAGGGUCAUUCGAUACUGAUCGACUCGAAGGCAGGAGAGGGAAGUGGAAUUCCCGGUGUAGUGGUGAAAUGCGUAGAUAUCGGGAGGAACACCAGGUGCGAAGGCGAACUUCCUGGCCUGUUCUUGACGCUGAGGCGGCGAAAAGCUAGGGGAGCAAACGGGG
rnacentral:rRNA from 1 species